GCCUCGUUAGCUCAACGGCAGAGCAGCUCCCUCUUAAGGAGACGGUUGUAGGUUCGAAUCCUACACGAGGCACAA
rnacentral:tRNA from 1 species